AUUCUGUACUAUAUUCAUAAGAAGCAUCCAAGGAGGAUUUUCACUACUUUAGUUUAUUCCCAGCCUUAUUUCAAAAAAUGUGAGAAGGCAAUAAGGAUUUGUAGUGUGAAAGGCAUGACCUUUAUCUGCAAUCAAUUCCCAUUGUUAGGCUUCGGACCUAUUAGUUUAGGUACACAGGUUUCUUUUUCAAGGAAUAGCUUUUAUUUUAACUAUCCUACCCUCAAAGUGCAGAGCAAAUCUCUCUCCUCAAAGCUCUCACAUGCUACUUGAAAAGGAAGAUAAAGAUUUUCAUGGAGAAAGGCUCCUUAAUGAUAGAAUAGAAGGCUUUUCAUUCUAAGAGAGAAAGGAGUAUGGUAAAGGUUGGAAAUUUGACUGAUGCCUAUGGCCUUGGACAGUAUCAAAUGAAAGAAUUAAAUUUUUUUUACUGUCUUGAGAAGAAAGAGAUACAAACAAAUCAACAAACAAACUUUACUAAAAUACACAUUCCUCCAGUUUUAGGUUUCUAAAAAGUAGUAAUUAUGCUUACAUCAAGGUUUACAGAUAGCAAACAACUGUUUUAAUGUGUAAAAGUAUUAUCCCUUUGCUUUACUAUGUUAGUUUCACUUUCUUUGAAGGAAUUGUAUCUGUGCACACUUGUCCUAAAGUCCAGUGCAGAAAAUAAACUGGUUUGCUACCAGCCUCAAUCUCGGAACAUUUCCUAAGCUAUAUUUGCAAAUCCUAAAACUACAUAUCUGUAAAAUGAGAUGCAGAGUUUCUGAAAUGCAUUGUGGUGGCAGGGGUGGGGUGGGAUGGGGGAGAAAGCAAGCUCUGAAUGGAGGAAAAGAAACAAAUCUCUUCUUAUCCUCCCCAAUACAUACUAUAAUGUUUCUGACCAUUAUUCUGCUGCAUUAGUUACUGUGAGGGCUACUGGUGCUCCUGACAGGUGUCAGCUUAGAAAAGCAGGAGGCUCAUAAGCAAUAAGAAAUUCACAUCCUGGAGUCUCCAGAAUAUUAAACAGGCUUUAGACAUUAAUCUAGACUAAUGCAGAGGUUGUAGUGAGAAAUCCCAGGUCUCAGGGUUAGAGCCCUUCUUGGGGAACUAGAAUGAACAAUGUCAAGAAGGCAUUCUGGAGGAAUCCUUGUGAUAAACUGGACCACACGGGACCUAUCAGAACUGGAUCCUCUCCUCCUCCACAUUAUACUUUACAUGAUGCUACUUAGGAUUUAAAAGAGAGUCUUUUAUUCUUUGAGAAGCCAAAGGCUGAGGAGAGGAGUACUUCAGAUGAAGAGUACUUUAAAAAAAAAGAUAGAGGAAAUCAGAACAGACAAAGGACAGCAAGGAGAUAGAAAUAAUGGGAAGAAUGUGUGAAAUGAAGAUCAUAGCCCUAGGCAACAUAAAUACUGGCUUUAAGAAGUUCUGAUUUCCUAUGAGAAUAGAAACUUGGAAAGGCUUUUGAACCUCUUUAUUUAUUUUUAAAAAAUGUGUUGACUUGAGUGCUUUUCUAUAUAUUUUUUGGCUAUGCCCUCAGCAUGCAAAGUUCUGGGGCCAGGGAUCAAACCUGCACCAGAACCAUAGCAGGGACAAUGCCAGAUCCUUAACCCAGAGAGCCACCAGGUAACUCCUGAACGUCUUUAUCUCAUUGCUCUCUGCAGUGUGAGAUGAUGUGAAAAACUGGCUUGACUAAGAUAAAAUCUGGCUCAUGCCUCAAGUCUAAUUAAGAAUACAUUUCUGAUAUUAAUGUUGCUUCUGUCUGUCAGUGGAUACAGUAAGAAAUGAAAGCAUGCCCUUGUGUGCUCAAAACCAGGUAGUGCUCUAAAUGCCACAGAAGCUGAGCAGUAAGGCGGUGUCACAAUAAGAGUGCUGGACUGGGACCCCUGCAGAGUUGUUAAGAUCAAGUCAUAAACAUCCUGUAAAGGGACAGACCCAAAGCUGUACCAGUCUUUGGGCGAUGUUCUGGCAACCUGACAGUUGUAAGUCAUUGAAAUGGCAUCUAGCAUGAUGACCGAAUUACAUGGUGAAUGCUUAGGUACUGGGGAGUGUAUUACAUGGCCCAUCAAGUAUCUGUUCAGCCUUGUUAUUAUUUUAUUUAAGCACAUAUUAAGUUCAGGUUUAAAAAAAAUCUGGUUGCAAAAUAGACACUUUAGAAACUAUGGAUCUUUUUAUCCCUUAGUAAAUUCCUACUUCGAGUUAUAAGCCAAUCAUUUGUCUUUCAAAAAGAUAAUAAAUAAAAAAUUUAUUCUUAGUCAUCCCAUACGAUACGUUUGAGAAGUGGCUUUACUUGUUUUAGAAGAGCUCACUAAGGCUCGGGCAGUUAUCAAAAUUAUUCUGAAAUAUCACACCUUUCAUUAGACUUCUGUGUCUAGUAGCCAGUAAAUAUGUCAUCUGGCUAAAUAUUAGCAGUAGCUGAGAGUCAGCAGUGAUAAUUUUUUUUUCUCCCUCAGAAAUUGACUACUCAUAUCCGGAAUUUGAACACUGUGGUAUUGAAAAAAAGAGAGAGAAACCAGAAAAUAUUUUUCUCUUUAUCUUUGGCCAAAUGUGAAGGUUGAAAGGAAUUAAUGACCCUCAGCUAGUACAGCUGACAUUUACAACUGUGACUCAGGUCCUCCCACUCACAAAAGAACAUUGAUAACUUUAAAACUUGCAGGUACUGUGAAGACAGCCCCCAGUCUGCCUACGGGUCUCCUGGUGAGGAGCUCACUCACGUCAACACUCUUGCCACAUAAAGCUCAAAGGAGGAAUUCAGAAUGGGGUAGAAAGAAGGAAGGGAAAUGAGCCCCGAGGGUCAUAAUUAUUAGAGUUCUCAGGAGAAUGUGGAAGGGAGCUGGAGAAGGGGGAAGGGGAGGGGCUGGAAAAGAAAACUCUCCUGGAAAAGAUGAAAGGAGGGAAUUAAUGUUAUUCACACUGAGAAGCCUUCAUCGUGGUUCAGUGUGGAAAGGGCUCUCAUGCUGAGUAUUAUGAACAGCUGUUUUCAUUUUGUCCUGAAUGCAGACCCGAGAGAAUAAGCCUGGUCUUAGGAACCCAGGAGGGAGGUAUAGUUUAUCCAUCAGUGGAGUUUUCCAAGCACUGGAUUGAGUAGCCAAGGGAAGCUGAAGAAGCUUUAAAGAUGUUAUGUGAAAAUAUUUCUUGUGAAGAAGACAGGAUGCCUGAUUUCUGAUGUUCUCACGAUGGUCUGGUUAAAGAAGAAAGGCACCAAAUCUCCACCUUAACAGACAAACAGAGAUAUUGAGGGCCAGAUACCCAAGAACCACCAUUUUAUGAACUCUGCAGACUAAAAAAAUGAACUAUACAUUUCUGAGUAGUUCUAGUUCUAUCAGCCUCUGUCAUGAAAAAGUUCCUCAAAUUCUGAUUUCAUCAAAUAAAAAAAAAUCUCUCAGGAAAAUAUUAUAUUGCUGAGUUACCUCCAGGGAAGCAUUGAUGACUAAUUGUAAGCAGAUUGAAAACAGAAAGUAGUCAGUGAAGAACCAGUAUUAAAAAUCAAUGUUUGAAAAUACGUUUGGGACAACUAGGGAUUUAACUGCCUUCUGCUUCUCAGAUGAGCAGCCCUUUGAAAUGCAGCCUGUGAUUGCUGGUCAGAUCAUAUGGAGGUUAAGCGGCCCCUUGGUCAUAUUUUUAAAAGCAAAUAUAGACAGUGACAGUCCUAGAGGGGAAAAUCACAGAUACAUUCAUAUGCGCUUCUUUUGUUCUUGAGAUACUGAGAGGGUCAGCUAAACAAGAUCAUGUUGACUAUGAACCUCUUUGUGUCGGCCACACACACAAAAAUUUUUUCUUAAAAAAAGUUUUCACUUUCCUACAUUUGCUAAGUCCGAGCUUAAAAAAAAUUCUAAAAUCCUGUAAAGACAAUACUGAAGCUGAUAAUAUAAAAAGCAAACUAGAGCAGUAAUGAUUAUUACUAAAUGCACCAGAUUAACUGCAGCAGGUUGGUGAUGGGUGAUAAAUGCAAAGAAAUAAUAUUUCAAUCAACUCAUGAUCAUAGGCAGAUUCAAAAGUUAAAUGAAUAUAAUGUAAUAUAUAUUUCAAUAUAGAGUUGUUAUAUAUAAUGUGUAUGUUCUAGCUUUCAGAAAUACUGCAAUGUAGUGUACUGUACUUAAGUAAGCAUACCUAAAUAGUAACUCAUAUUCUUCCACAAAGUCACUAGUACUGUUAAUUAAAAAAAAAUUCAUUUUUUUCCAGUAAAAAGAAAUACCUAUGGUUACAGUCACAGACUUCUUUUGGAUAUAGAAAGACAAUAUACAGUAAAAAAAAAAAAAAAAAAAAAAAAAAAACCCAAAAAAAAAAAAAAAAAAAAAGAAAACCCAAAAAACAAAACAAAACAAAAAAACCCCAACAACGAAGAUUGCAACUGUAAGUAGCUUUACUUAAUUGGGGAGGGGGAAAAUCACCAAAAUAGAAGAGGAAAGAAAAUGUCCUCUGAAUUCUGUAAGUUAGCAGAAAUAAUCCACAUAUCACAAAAAAUAAUAAACCAGCUAAAGAAGGGCAUGGGAGUGAGAAAACUGAAUCCGACUAUUUCCAGGCCACCCUUCGAAGUCAGCUAUGACAGCCAGGUCUGUUUAUUCAGAAUAGUACACUAGAGCAUGCUUCCACUUUAAUGUUUGAGAUGGGCAGGAGCCAUCAAUUCUUAGAGAUGACCACGAAAUAUUCUUCCGAGAGUCUAUUGGUUUGCUAGACAUAGUAAACAACCCACUCCUGGAAAGACUUCGACAAAGGCCACAUUGGUUUCAGGAGACACAGUUUGUGAAUGAUGAUGGUUCCCUGCAAAUGCCAGCAGGAUUAGGAAGCUUUAGUUUGGGAGUAAAACUUACAAGUGGGUGGGUGUUUUUGUGCACACACUGGGUUGCAUAGAGGAAAGGAAUGGAGGCCUUUAAGCCAUGGAAUGGCUCAAACUGAAGUCUGUAUGGGCCUUGCCUGACUAGCAUCGGUGCCCCUCCUGCACCCCCCGCAAAGGGGCCAGGGGUACCCCAGACGGCUGUUCCCUCUUGUCUACUUGCCAGUUGAGUGUGUCUGUUCUACCUUCUUCUGGAGGCAAACAGCCUGUCACUGUGGGUUUGCUGUGGAUCCAACAAGCUGCCUCUGUUUCUCCCAACUCUGAAAUGCUACAAAAAGCAACAGAGUGGGCAGGUGACUGCUUCCUGGGAAGGGAGCCACAAGUCUUGAGCAUGAUGGUGGGAAGAGGCAAAUGUAUCUAUGCACCAGGACCUAUGCUGGUGUGUGCGUUGUUUGAGAUGCACACGUACUCUCAGACUACAACAAGUACACACGCAAAUACACAUGCACGCACAUGUCAGUAAAUCCAGUAGAAGGGCAGUUUGUUAAGUGCACUCUACUCCACACAAGCAAGUUCAAGUGUCUCAUGAAAGGGGUACAGAGAUAUUACUGAUGCUUGGGCUCCUUCAGAAUGCCUUAGAGCCUCAUCACAGAUAGUGGGCGGCACUUGUGCACCCAACUAAGGCAACAGAGCAGAAGCAGAUAAAUGAGAUAUGCGAGAUCUUUGACUAACUAGAAAUUCCAGACUCUAUCUUGUUGCUGGGGACUAUGCAUGUGGAAUAGUGUGGUGGUGAGAGCACCCCACACUGCGUGUGUACAUGCAUAAUAUGUACUCAUUUACAGACAUUUUGGACAGCAGCUGUGACAUACUAGAUGGGUUAAGUCCCUUUCAUUACUAGAAUCUACAUAUAAAUUGUAAUGAUUUUGCUGGGCAAUAGCAAACUUCUGUUGCAAAAGUAGUAGAAACAGAUGUCUUCUAGGGGGUUAAUUUUUUUUUUCCUGUCUUGGGUGUAUCAGAAUCUCAUUGAAGCAUUUUGAAUCAAGGAAACCUCUGAGCUGGCAAGAGGGCUAGUUAGGGACUUUUUAUACCCUAAUUAGGCAUCUCAAGAGCCAGGACUCCCGGAACUGUGGCAAAAAUUUCCCUCCAAUCUGCAGACUGUGCUCCUUCACUGAAGACUCGAAAGUUGUGAGUUUGCAUUUCAACAAAGAACCACCAGAUAAACCAGAUGCUCACUGAAACUGAGAAAAAAAAAAAAAAGUUCAGAGAUAUACACUGUACAGGAAAAGAAAGCUUUUUGCUGAGAUUGUUCUCCCUGUUAAGCACAUGAUUAAAACUGGCAUCUUAGGCACCUGUGAUCCUGUCUUAUGCAACUCACUAUUUGGCUAAUAGGAUGUCUGUUUUCUAUCCAGCCCAGACCUAUGUCACUGAGAUAGGACAGGAAAUAGCAGCCACUUCCUGAGUGUAGCCAGUUCUGGACAAGUUUGGUGCCUCCCCCCAAAGUCACUGUUUCCAUCAUUUUCAGUCACGAGUGGGGCUCAUUUUUUUUGAUAAUAUAACCAUUAAGAAGCAAGAAAUGGCCAUGUCUUCACACCCUUACAGUUUCUCUAUCUUCUAUUCUCUUCCCUGGGCUUUCUGAUUUAAGGCAGUAAUUCUUUACUAUAAGUGGCUUCCUGCCAAAAUACUUUAACUGAGGUCACUUCAGAUUAGAUUUAGUCUGAAAGUAUUCGGUUUUUGGAGCAAUAGGCUGGGCCUGAAGAACCACUGGAACCUAGGCAUUUCGGCCAGCGGUGUGAAAAAGUGAUGUUUCUUGUUUCAACUCAGGGCAUCAUUUUCACCCCUCGUUCAGUAAAACACACAGGCCUGAAAAGAAACCUGUGUAGCCCUCAUCUUCUACCUCUUUACUCUAGAAAGAAUUGAAACAGACACUAGUGUGUCACACCAUCUUCUGGGAUCUGUUAAUGGGUACUGCUGACCGCUAUGGAUUCGGUGUUCCAGAAGAAAAAAAAUAUUCAGAGACUUAGAAAAAUCUUUGGGGUGUUCUGGUCAGGCUAAUCGUCUUAGUACCUAGUGCCAGAAAUGAUGCUUUGGGUUUGUAAUUUCCAGGCUUUGUGCUUACAGGAACACUGAGUCAUCACAGCUUUCCUUCUUGGGGAGAUUUAAGCAGUAUCUGAAAUGCAAACUACACAAACAGCUCUUGGGAAUAUGAAAAUAUCCUCUCUCUAGGGCAAGAGCGCCUCCGAGGUGCCCCUUUUCUGUUGCCAUACGUGGUCUGAGCACAGGGUAGAGACUGCUUUGGAAAGUUUGCCCUGGGUCAUCUACUUCCUGGGCACCUAGGAGAACAGGCCCUUUCUUCAUGAAAACACAGAAGAGAAAGCAGCUGCCGCUGCUCCCCCCAUGAGGUUGCCUCUGGCACAGGGGGAGCCUGAUGGCAGGUCAGCUCAAGCACUCUUUACAUGCUCCAGACCGAGAGGCACUGGGUUGCCUUGCUUUUCUGUGAAAUUAGGGAGCCUAUUGAAAUUCUGAUGCGCCCCUUUCCUUUUGUUUGACACCAAGUCACAUGGUUCUGCCUUUAGUGUCCCAUUUUUCUCUUUCUAAAAUUUCUUUUUCUGGGGGACAAAAUUGGUCAUUUAAAUAAAGUUCUUUUAUAGUGAGUAAAGAGGGUUCUCAGAGCCAGAAAUCACUCAAAAGAAAGUCUGUCGACCCUACCCAUGGAAAAGCCCAGAGAGUUCUCUAAAUACCUCUUGCCAAACCUCCUAGUGCUGUGAUUGGAUGUUUUCUGGCUUCACAUUAUUGGGUGCUGAAUGCAUUUUGCAAUCCUUCUGUUCUCUUCCCCAGGGCUCCCAGGACCCUGGACUUCAACUCAAGACUACAUUCAAGAAUUCUUUCAGAAGAUUUCUUUUAAGAGUCAGGUCACAACCGAAAGGGCACCCUCCCUUCUCCUAAACCCCAAGGGCAUCUCGGGUUGGGCCUGCUCCUCCCUUGCACCCUCUUUUUGCCCCAGCAACACACUGGCUACAGCAGAUGCAGACCCCAUGUAGUUAGCUGAUACCUUUGCUGCAGGAUCACACAUCACGUCUCUGCUCCUGGCC
rnacentral:lncRNA from 1 species